AGUGAACGCUGGCGGUAGGCCUAACACAUGCAAGUCGAACGGCAGCACAGUAAGAGCUUGCUCUUACGGGUGGCGAGUGGCGGACGGGUGAGGAAUACAUCGGAAUCUACUUUUUCGUGGGGGAUAACGUAGGGAAACUUACGCUAAUACCGCAUACGACCUACGGGUGAAAGCAGGGGAUCUUCGGACCUUCGCGAUUGAAUGAGCCGAUGUCGGAUUAGCUAGUUGGCGGGGUAAAGGCCCACCAAGGCGACGAUCCGUAGCUGGUCUGAGAGGAUGAUCAGCCACACUGGAACUGAGACACGGUCCAGACUCCUACGGGAGGCAGCAGUGGGGAAUAUUGGACAAUGGGCGCAAGCCUGAUCCAGCCAUACCGCGUGGGUGAAGAAGGCCUUCGGGUUGUAAAGCCCUUUUGUUGGGAAAGAAAAGCAGCAGGUUAAUACCCCGCUGUUCUGACGGUACCCAAAGAAUAAGCACCGGCUAACUUCGUG
rnacentral:rRNA from 1 species